CAGGCCUAACACAUACAAGUCGAACGCACCUUCGUGUAUGAGUGGCAGACGGGUGAGUAACGCGUAGGAACCUGCCCUGUGGUACGGAAUAACUCUGGGAAACCGGAGCGAAUAGCGUAUACGCCCUACGGGGGAAAGAUUUAUCGCCAUAGGAUGGGCCCGCGUCAGAUUAGCUUGUUGGUGGGGUAACGGCCUACCAAUGCUACGAUCUGUAGCUGGUCUGAGAGGAUGAUCAGCCACACUGGGACUGAGACACGGCCCAGACUCCUACGGGAGGCAGCAGUGGGGAAUCUUGGACAAGGGGCGAAAGCCUGAUCCAGCCAUGCCGCGUGAGUGAAGAAUGCCCUAGGGUUGUAAAGCUCUUUCAGCGGGGAAGAUAAUGACGGUACCCGCAGAAGAAGCCCCGGCUAACUUCGUGCCAGCAGCCGCGGUAAUACGAAGGGGGCUAGCGUAGUUCGGAAUUACUGGGCGUAAAAGCGCGCGUAGGCGGACUGGCCAGUCAGGGGUGAAAGCCCGGGGCUUAACCUCGGAACUGCCCUUGAUACUGCCAGUCUAGAGUCCGGCAGAGGUGAGUGGAAUUCCUAGUGUAGAGGUGAAAUUCGUAGAUAUUAGGAAGGAACACCAGUGGCGAAGGCGGCUCAGAGGGCCGAGACUGACGCUGAGGCGCGAA
rnacentral:rRNA from 1 species